AUUUUAGUAUAACUCUGUCUCAUGCAAUAUUUGGGACAGACUUAUACUGAAA
rnacentral:pre_miRNA from 1 species